rnacentral:rRNA from 1 species
GGGCGUAAGAGCUCGUAGGCGGUUCAGUAAGUCGGGUGUGAAAACUCUGGGCUCAACCCAGAGACGCCACCCGAUACUGCUGUGACUUGAGUCCGGUAGGGGAGUGGGGAAUUCCUGGUGUAGCGGUGAAAUGCGCAGAUAUCAGGAGGAACACCGGUGGCGAAGGCGCCACUCUGGGCCGGUACUGACGCUGAGGAGCGAAAGCGUGGGUAGCAAACAGGAUUAGAUACCCUGGUAGUCCACGCCGUAAACGUUGGGCACUAGGUGUGGGUCCUAACCAACGGGAUCCGUGCCGUCGCUAACGCAUUAAGUGCCCCGCCUGGGGAGUACGGCCGCAAGGCUAAAACUCAAAGGAAUUGACGGGGACCCGCACAAGCAGCGGAGCAUGUGGUUUAAUUCGAAGCAACGCGAAGAACCUUACCAAGACUUGACAUCUCCUGAAUAGCCUAGAGAUAGGUGAAGCCCUUCGGGGCAGGAAGACAGGUGGUGCAUGGUUGUCGUCAGCUCGUGUCGUGAGAUGUUGGGUUAAGUCCCGCAACGAGCGCAACCCCUGCUGUUAGUUGCUAACAUUAAGUUGAGCACUCUAGCAAGACUGCCGAGGUUAACUCGGAGGAAGGUAAU